AAGAACAAACCAAUGACCUAUUUACUCUCAAUAUACCAAUAAAAUAUAUUGCCCGCGAAUAAAUAAUACAGACAUUGGCACGUUAAUAAAUUGAAUUAUGAAUAUGAAAAUAAACAUUCCAAAAGGCUUCACAAAUACGUGCAUCAAAGCAUUAUUAACAGACAUAAUCAACUAUUCGGAUUAAAUAUAAAGCUGAAAUGUGCCAUAUUUUAUUUGCAUACUAGCAAAUAUAUAUUUGAAUUACCAAAGAUCGGAUUCAUCGAAUAAUGAAAUAAACAUUAAGCGCGAAUUUUCUACACCCUUCAAUAGUUUGUUUAAGUUGAAUCGGAUAAGGUGCUUACCAUUCAGACGUGAACAUUUAACGUGUAUGCAUUUUAACACGGUUGUGUAAUUCAAUAACUUGUACAUAAUUGGGUCACUUGUUAAGUUUAUAAGCCAAAGCUGCUUCUGUUGAAAUAACUACAUUUACUGAUAAGACGCGGUUGCAUACCUUCAUCACCAGUUAGAACCGAUUGAAACAAAUAUGAAAAUACGAAAUAAACAAAGAAUAUAAAAAAAACACAAAGUGGAUAUAUAAGACUCUCAACGAACAAAACUUACUAUGUGUUUUGUGUUUUCAUUUUAAAUCCAACUUGGAUCGACAUAGGAACAUAGACAACAAGCGCUUAUGUUACUACAUCAAGUUCAGGUUGACUUGCGCAGAUAUGGUUUGCACCUAAGACUAGACGACACGGAAGUACAUGCAUGGGCAAAUGAUGAGACGGUGCACUUCGUUGCGUUGUGGUACAGCCAGCACAUCAGCGUCCCAGCUCCCUCAAUGUUAACGACACUGGCAGUGUAUGGUCCUAUGCAUUACACUGACGCGACAUGUCUUACAAAGAAACGAGUGGGGAGUCCAGCUCGUCAUCGACUAUUCGGUCGACGAACCCAAAAUCCACGUUGAUAAGACGAUACUGCUGUAAUGUUAUUAUCAAUUCUGAGUUUGUUUUUUAAUUGACUCGAUGACAAAGUUUUAUUGACGCAUAUUUGCCUAGAUAUUGUCGAGAUAUACAUUCUUAUCAUGUUUAAUACAGAUUGAGCCAACAAUAUUGCCUCUAAAGCGAUAACAGGGGUUGUGUAACCUUGAACCUAUUCGCCUAGUUUUUGAGGCACACGUGACCCAGAUUCGAACUCGAACAGAAGACAUCAUGAUAUACAUUACGACAGUGUUUUUAUUAAGAUUGAGUCGUACGGCAUCUAGAUAGGCUACAAGGCCAGUACUACAUAUGUCCCGUUUACCUAGUUUAUAGACAAACGUGACGUACAUUACAACUCGGUUUAAAAAAUGUCAAGAUAAACAAUCAAGUUUGAUCAAGAUUAAACAUAUUGACACGAUUGAGAUAAUCAUUAAUGUCUGUAGUUCGAAGAAUAAUUUCGAUAUAAUAAAGCUCUUCAGCUAGUCCUUGUCCCAACGAAGAAAACUGCAUAAGAACGGAACUUUUUAUCGAAUGAUCCAUCCUCGUAAGACACGUUUUUCAUGUUGUGUUCAUAGUGUCAUUGACGCUAUGACACUUGGCUGGUCAAGGUGUCCUUGUUUUACUAGGUUGUCAUUUAUUGCGACACAUACACGAUUUGUGAUACUUUUGUUGUAUAAAUCAUUGUGUUAAAAUGUUUCAUUUUC